UAGGGAAUAUUGGACAAUGGGCGCAAGCCUGAUCCAGCCAUGCCGCGUGGGUGAAGAAGGCCUUCGGGUUGUAAAGCCCUUUUGUUGGGAAAGAAAUCCUGUCGGCUAAUACCCGGCGGGGAUGACGGUACCCAAAGAAUACGCACCGGCUAACUUCGUGCCAGCAGCCGCGGUAAUACGAAGGGUGCAAGCGUUACUCGGAAUUACUGGGCGUAAAGCGUGCGUAGGCGGUUCGUUAAGUCUGUCGUGAAAGCCCUGGGCUCAACCUGGGAAUUGCGAUGGAUACUGGCGAGCUAGAGUACGGUAGAGGAUGGUGGAAUUCCCGGUGUAGCGGUGAAAUGCGUAGAGAUCGGGAGGAACACCCGUGGCGAAGGCGGCCAUCUGGACCAGUACUGACGCUGAGGCACGAAAGCGUGGGGAG
rnacentral:rRNA from 1 species